rnacentral:rRNA from 1 species
AGCGAACGCUGGCGGCAUGCUUAACACAUGCAAGUCGCACGACCGGGUUUCGGCCUGGGAGUGGCGGACGGGUGAGUAUCGCGUAGGGAUUUGUCGUUGGGUGGGGGACAACCUUGGGAAACUGGGGCUAAUACCGCAUGACGCCUGUGGGCCAAAGCUCGAGAGGGCGCCUGACGAGGAGCCUGCGUCCGAUUAGGUAGUUGGUUGGGUGAUGGCUGACCAAGCCUGCGAUCGGUAGCUGGUCUGAGAGGAUGGCCAGCCACACU